UACAGAGGUCCCAAGCGUUGUCCGGAUUUAUUGGGUUUAAAGGGUGCGUAGGCGGUCAAAUAAGUCAGUUGUGAAAUACGGCAGCUCAACUGUCGAGGUGCAAUUGAUACUGUUUGACUUGAGUACUGUUGAGGUAGGCGGAAUGGACGGUGUAGCGGUGAAAUGCUUAGAGAUCGUCCAGAACACCGAUAGCGAAGGCAGCUUACUAAAGAGUAACUGACGCUGAGGCACGAAAGUGUGGGGAUCAAACAGG
rnacentral:rRNA from 1 species